rnacentral:rRNA from 1 species
AAUAUUGCACAAUGGGGGAAACCCUGAUGUAGCGACGCCGCGUGAGUGAAGAAGUAUUUAGGUAUGUAAAGCUCUAUCAGCAGAGAAGAUAAAGACGGUACAUGAUGAAGAAGCACCGGCUAACCACGAUCCAGCAGCCGCGGUAAUACGUAGGGGUCAAGCGUUAUCCGGAUUUACUGGGUGUAAAGGGAGCGUAGGUGAUUGGGUAAGUCAGAUGUGAAAGCCCGGGGCUCAACCCCGGGACUGCAUUUGAAACUAUCGAACUAGAGUGUAGGAGAGGUAAGUGGAAUUCCUAGUGUAGCGGUGAAAUGCGUAGAUAUUAGGAGGAACACCAGUGGCGAAGGCGGCUUACUGGACUGUAACUGACGCUCAGGCACGAAGGCGUGGGGAUCAAACAGG